rnacentral:rRNA from 1 species
UACGGGAGGCAGCAGUGGGGAAUAUUGCACAAUGGGCGCAAGCCUGAUGCAGCCAUGCCGCGUGUAUGAAGAAGGCCUUCGGGUUGUAAAGUACUUUCAGUCGUGAGGAAGGUGUUAAGGUUAAUAACCUUAGCAAUUGACGUUAGCGACAGAAGAAGCACCGGCUAACUCCGUGCCAGCAGCCGCGGUAAUACGGAGGGUGCGAGCGUUAAUCGGAAUUACUGGGCGUAAAGGGCACGCAGGCGGUUAAUUAAGUUGGAUGUGAAAUCCCCGGGCUUAACCUGGGAAUGGCAUUCAAGCUGGUUAGCUAGAGUCUUGUAGAGGGGGUAGAAUUCCAUGUGUAGCGGUGAAAUGCGUAGAGAUGUGGAGGAAUACCGGUGGCGAAGGCGGCCCCUGGACAAAGGCUGACGCUCAUGUGCGAAAGCGUGGGGAGCGAAACAGGGAUUAGAUACCCGG